CCUAAGUAAUUAACUACCUACAUUAAUUCUAACUAUGUUUAAUGUUGCUCUGUAAGAAUAAGAUCACUAUUGCUUAUUGACAACAGUCUUCAAAACUUAUAGAAAAUAAUAUAGCAAAAAUUAAAGAAACAAUGCUUACGAAAACUGUCACCUGAUUGUAUUAAUAUUCUGUGAUCAGUUAAUCCCUUUUAGUAGACAAUGGUAUGGUUCAAGUUGCAAAACCUUCC
rnacentral:lncRNA from 1 species